rnacentral:snRNA from 1 species
ACUAGUGCUCACAUUGGUAGCUGCCAAAAUUGAAAUAAUCCAAAGAUUAGUAUGUCCCCUGCUCAUGGAUGAUAGGCAAAUUGUGAGCACCAGGAUGUU